CCUACGGGUGGCAGCAGUGAGGAAUAUUGGUCAAUGGACGAGAGUCUGAACCAGCCAAGUAGCGUGAAGGAUGACUGCCCUAUGGGUUGUAAACUUCUUUUAUAAAGGAAUAAAACGAGGCACGUGUGCCUUUUUGCAUGUACUUUAUGAAUAAGGAUCGGCUAACUCCGUGCCAGCAGCCGCGGUAAUACGGAGGAUCCGAGCGUUAUCCGGAUUUAUUGGGUUUAAAGGGAGCGUAGAUGGGUUGUUAAGUCAGUUGUGAAAGUUUGCGGCUCAACCGUAAAAUUGCAAUUGAUACUGGCAGUCGUGAGUACAGUUGAGGUAGGUGGAAUUCGUGGUGUAGCGGUGAAAUGCUUAGAUAUCACGAAGAACCCCGAUUGCGAAGGCAGCUUACUAAACUGUGACUGACAUUGAUGCUCGAAAGUGUGGGUAUCAAACAGGAUUAGAUACCCGAGUAGUC
rnacentral:rRNA from 1 species